UACAGAGGUCUCAAGCGUUGUUCGGAUUCAUUGGGCGUAAAGGGUGCGCAGGUGGCGCGGUAAGUCGGAUGUGAAAUCCCGGGGCUCAACCCCGGAACUGCAUUCGAUACUGCCGUGCUAGAGUGCUGGAGAGGAGAUUGGAAUUUACGGUGUAGCAGUGAAAUGCGUAGAUAUCGUAAGGAAGACCAGUGGCGAAGGCGGAGUCUCUGGACAGCUACUGGACACUGAGGCACGAAGGC
rnacentral:rRNA from 1 species